rnacentral:sRNA from 1 species
CAUCUCUCCAGCCCCUUCCGUAAGUUUUUUUUUAAUGUGUACGCCUUGCAUUGAGAUAAGUUCUAUGAACAGAGGCAACACUUUGGUUCUACUUUUUAAAAAUUACCUGGGGCAAUUGGAGGAGGGAACAUAUCAUCAAUCGAAAUUGGAGAAAGGACAGUAAUCUUAUUUCAGUAACAAUGGGAACCCAGCACCUCCUGGCUGGGAAGGAGGGAAAGCUCCCAGGGGAAAUGAGAGCUUCUGAUAGUCUUGGUCUACGUCUCGACACGGGAUGCCGCUCACUGCUUUUGGAAGAAAGCAGGAUAACACUGUAAAGAACAACACUUAUCCAGCCUGUAGGUAGAAAGGAGGACUCUGAAACCCCUCUUCUUUAAUCGUUAACUCUGUUGUUCGAUCUAGGUUUCCAGGUGGUGAAAGAUAAGCUUCAGUCAUUGCAGUUAAUCAGAAAGCCGUGCAGGGCAGUGUUAACCAGCAGCCUUCACUGCGGCAGACUGCACGUCAUAGGUGCUAGGAGUUAAACUUUGACUAGUGUUAGGAUAGCGCAGACAAAUGCAUGACAAUCAACCUGGACCGGUAAAUAACAAGUGAAAUAGAAAAGCAGGUCUCGGAGUGAUUUACAGUUGACAACUGAGUCUGAACAGUGUAUGCCUUUCCUCUAGCCUACGCAGGCUACCUCACAUCCCGUGGCUCUCAGAUUAAAGCUGGGAGAUUUCGAGAUUCCGAGAAGAGAACAUAUCCUGAUGAAUGACCUACAAAGAAGUGACGGGCAGAGAAAGGACUUGAUGCCCUUGUGUCAUGUGCUGAGAUGGUGUCGGAGGAGACAAAUGAAACAGGACAGGUGCGGCUGCCAUUUCCCCAAAGGACAAAGACUUCUCAGAAAAGCUGACUGAUAUGGGAGUGAGAGCCGUCCAAAGGACUUGCUAUGAAUGAUACAGGAAACCUCAGAUUCUUCAGAGACCCUGAUCACGUGUCAGUCACAACAACUGGAUAUGUCCACCUUUCUCCUUUAUGGUGUCAUACAGACUUGAGGGCGUUUGUGAUGUCCCUUUUGCCUUUGGAGUCAGAAAUGGGAGUGUGCACGUGAAAAAUCCCUUUACAAGUCAUAAAAAUCACUCAUUCUCAAUCGCUCAUGAAUAAAAACAAUAUCCCACACACGUGAGAAAAGAAAACAGACGUCUGGCAGCAGGACCGAGAGCAUACUGUUUCCAGAAUUCUUGCAAGACAAAAUGGAGUUGGAUCACUGCAGUUGAGGGGGAAAAAAAAUGAAAACAGAUGUUUCUUAAGAAUAUACAUCUCCUCCUCUUUGUUUACUCUCUUGCUCUCCCUACCCAGCCAUGCUGCCCCAGCCCCUGAAAACUGUGUUCUAAUCUGCAGAAGCCCCACGCUCUCCGAGACGGUGAGGCUGUUCAGCUGCAGAGAGCAGAUUUCUUCCAGCAGAUGUUUUAUAUUAUCUAGAUGUGCGCCUCGAGAAAGUGUCUGUUCGCGGUGCCAAAGAAAACAAUUGUGUGUAGCAGGACUUUGUUCCUCUGCCUAAAAAGAAAAACGUCCCCAAACAAGCUGACAGCUGCAAAUGGUUAGAAAUAAACUGGCUACCCCUCCGCUCUUCGCCUCCCUUCCUCUGCCCUUCCCCAGCCCCUUUGUGUCACCCUCUAGUCUCUCGAGGUGGUUGGAGCAGAAGAAAGAGAAAAGGUUAACAUGUGA